rnacentral:rRNA from 1 species
GAUGAACGCUGGCGGCGUGCUUAACACAUGCAAGUCAAGGGGGCCCGAGCAAUGGGCAACCGGCGAACGGGUGCGUAACACGUGAGCAACCUACCUAGGUGUGGGGGAUAGCCGGCCCAACGGCCGGGUAAUACCGCAUACGCUCUCUCUUAGGCAUUUAGGGGAGAGGAAACCUUCGGGGCACUAUGAGGGGCUCGCGGCCUAUCAGCUAGUUGGCGAGGUAAUGGCUCACCAAGGCGACGACGGGUAGCUGGUCUGAGAGGAUGGCCAGCCACAUUGGGACUGAGAAACGGCCCAGACUCCUACGGGAGGCAGCAGUGGGGAAUCUUGCGCAAUGGCCUAACGGCUGACGCAGCGACGCCGCGUGAGGGAUGACGCUCUUCGGAGUGUAAACCUCUUUGCC